GUGUUCGCUUCAGCAGCACAUAUACUAAAAUUGGGAUGAUACAGAGAAAAUUAGCAAGGAUGAUAUGCAAAUUCGUGAAGCGUUCCAUAUUUUU
ensembl:snRNA U6 U6 spliceosomal RNA